AUCUACGGCCAUGCCACCCUGAACAAGCCCGAUCCCGUCCAAUCUCGGAAGCUAAGCAAGGUCAGGUCUGGUUAGUACUUGGAUGGAAGACCACCUAGGAAGACUAGGUGCUGGAAGGC
rnacentral:rRNA from 1 species